rnacentral:rRNA from 1 species
AUUGAACGCUGGCGGCAGGCCUAACACAUGCAAGUCGAGCGGAUGAAGGGAGCUUGCUCCUGGAUUCAGCGGCGGACGGGUGAGUAAUGCCUAGGAAUCUGCCUGGUAGUGGGGGAUAACGUCCGGAAACGGGCGCUAAUACCGCAUACGUCCUGAGGCAGAAAGUGGGGGAUCUUCGGACCUCACGCUAUCAGAUGAGCCUAGGUCGGAUUAGCUAGUUGGUGGGGUAAAGGCCUACCAAGGCGACGAUCCGUAACUGGUCUGAGAGGAUGAUCAGUCACACUGGAACUGAGACACGGUCCAGACUCCUCCGGGAGGCAGCGGUGGGGAAUAUUGGACAAUGGGCGAAAGCCUGGUGCAGCCAUGCCGCGUGUGUGAAGAAGGUCUUCGGAUUGUAAAGCACUUUAAGUUGGGAGGAAGGGCAGUAAGUUAAUACCUUGCUGUUUUGACGUUACCAACAGAAUAAGCACCGGCUAACUUCGUG